rnacentral:rRNA from 1 species
UACGAAGGGGGGCUAGCGUUGUUCGGAAUCACUGGGCGUAAAGCGCACGUAGGCGGAUCUUUUAAGUCAGGGGUGAAAUCCCGAGGCUCAACCUCGGAACUGCCUUUGAUACUGGGGAUCUCGAGUCCGGGAGAGGUGAGUGGAACUGCGAGUGUAGAGGUGAAAUUCGUAGAUAUUCGCAAGAACACCAGUGGCGAAGGCGGCUCACUGGCCCGGAACUGACGCUGAGGUGCGAAAGCGUGGGGAGCAAACAGG